AGAGUUUGAUCCUGGCUCAGGACGAACGCUGGCGGCGUGCUUAACACAUGCAAGUCGAGCGAUGAAGCACCUUCGGGUGUGAAUUAGCGGCGAACGGGUGAGGAACACGUGAGAAAUCUGCCUUCAACACUGGGAUAACUCCGGGAAACCGGGGCUAAUACCGGAUAUGAAAUCUGCGGGCAUCCGCGGAUUUGGAAAGUUUUUCGGUUGAAGAUGAUCUCGCGGCCUAUCAGCUUGUUGGUGAGGUAAUGGCUCACCAAGGCGACGACGGGUAGCCGGCCUGAGAGGGCGACCGGCCACACUGGGACUGAGACACGGCCCAGACUCCUACGGGAGGCAGCAGUGGGGAAUAUUGGGCAAUGGAGGGAACUCUGACCCAGCGACGCCGCGUGCGGGAUGAAGGCCUUCGGGUUGUAAACCGCUUUCAGCAGGGAAGAAGCGAAAGUGACGGUACCUGCAGAAGAAGCACCGGCUAACUAUGUGCCAGCAGCCGCGGUAAUACAUAGGGUGCAAGCGUUGUCCGGAAUUAUUGGGCGUAAAGAGCUCGUAGGUGGUUCGUCACGUCGGAUGUGAAAAUCUGGGGCUUAACCCCAGACCUGCAUUCGAUACGGGCGAGCUAGAGUGUGGUAGGGGAGACUGGAAUUCCUGGUGUAGCGGUGGAAUGCGCAGAUAUCAGGAGGAACACCAAUGGCGAAGGCAGGUCUCUGGGCCAUUACUGACACUGAGGAGCGAAAGCGUGGGGAGCGAACAGGAUUAGAUACCCUGGUAGUCCACGCCGUAAACGGUGGGCACUA
rnacentral:rRNA from 1 species